CAGUCGCCGCGGGAACACGAAGGGGGCUAGCGUUGCUCGGAAUGACUGGGCGUAAAGGGCUCGCAGGCGGUUUCUUAAGUCUGAUGUGAAAGCCCCCGGCUCAACCGGGGAGGGUCAUUGGAAACUGGGAAACUUGAGUGCAGAAGAGGAGAGUGGAAUUCCACGUGUAGCAGUGAAAUGCGUAGAUAUGCGGAGGAACACCAACGGCGAAAGCACUCUGCUGGGCCGACACUGACACUGAGAGACGAAAGCUAGGGGAGCAAAUGGGAUUAGAUACCCCUGUAGUCCCUGUCUCUUAUAA
rnacentral:rRNA from 1 species